rnacentral:rRNA from 1 species
AAUGAGGGAGAGUUAAACGGACCAUCGAGUUUCCAUUGGAGGGCAAGUCUGGUGCCAGCAGCUGCGGUAAUACCAGCUCCAAUAGCGUAUAUUAAAGUUGUUGCAGUUAAAAAGCUCGUAGUUGGACUUGUGUGCGCUGUCCGCGGGUGGCCUGCGCCCAAAAGGGCGUUUCGGUUCGGCCCCGGUGGCGCCUUGAAAUCUGCAGCUGGGGGGACGUUGGCCUUAACUGGUCGGCGACCGCACGCCGGCUGCUCGGUUACUGCGAGAAAAUUAGAGUGUUCAAGGCAGGCAUUGGGUGCAAUUGAAUACAUUAGCAUGGAAUAAUAAAAUAUGGCUCCUGCCGUAUUUUGUUGGUUUUGACUGGUGGGAGUAAUGAUUGAUAGGGACGGUUGGGGGUGCUAGUAUUGAGCGGCCAGAGGUGAAAUUCAUGGAUUCGCUCAAGACUAACUUAUGCGAAAGCAUUCACCAAGGACGUCCUCUUUAAUCAAGAACGAAAGUUGGGGGAUCGAAGACGAUCAGAUACCGUCGUAGUCUCAACCAUAAACUAUGUCGACUUGGGAUCGGCGGUAGUUUUUUCAUUAAGACACUGUCGGGACCACGGGAGAAAUCAAAGUGUCUGGACUCUGGGGGAAGUAUGGUCGCAAGGCUGAAACUUGAAGGAAUUGACGGAAGGGCACCACCAGGAGUGGAGCCUGCGGCUUAAUUUGACCCAACACGGGGAAACUUACCAGGUCCAGAGAUGUAGAGGAUUGACAGAUUGAAGCUCUUUCUUGAUCACUUCGGUGGUGGUGCAUGGCCGUUCUUAGUUGGUGGAGUGAUUUGUCUGGUUAAUUCCGUUAACGAACGAGACCUCAGCCUGCUAGUGUAGUCGGCUGGAUUGCCUUUGGCGAUCCGUGAUUUCGACUUCUUAGAGGGACAAUCGACGCGCAGUCGAUGGAAGUUUGAGGCAAUAACAGGUCUGUGAUGCCCUUAGAUGUUCUGGGCCGCACGCGCGCUACACUGCUGGGCUCAGCGAGUUUUACUUGGCCGAGAGGCCCGGUUAAUCUUGUGAAAUCCCAGCGUGCUUGGGCUCGCCUCCUGCAACUGGAGGCGCCAACGAGGAAUUCCUAGUAGACGCAGGUCAUCAACCUGCAUCGAUUACGUCCCUGCCCUUUGUACACACCGCCCGUCGUUCCAUAAGAGUGAGGCAUCCGGUGAAUUCUCGGGAGAGCCUGGGCGUGGCCAGCAAUGGUCUGCUCGGGUUUGAACUUGCAUAAACUUGGUGCCUAUGAUCAGGG